UUGAGAGCUUUCCCUUCAUCCGAUUAGAUUUUCGUUUUGGACGGAUCAUGUUAACUUGCUUCUGUGCAAGAGUACUGUUUUGGGGUUUCCUCUAAAGAGUGUUGUGCUUGUAACCACUAAGAUGAGGAGGAGGUGUCUGUGGAGCAAGCGCUGGAAGACGGUGAUGCUGCAGCUUAGUAUGUCUAGGAUCUUGAUUAGUAGUAUUAUUCUGAUGAUAAUUCACAGUGGUCC
rnacentral:sRNA from 1 species